UGCAAUGUGAUGUAGCGAUCGCGGGGGGCCGACUCGUCUGUGGUCAUUUCCACAAACACAUGAAGGAGCUGAUGGAGAUGGCGAGCAUUCUCCCCCUCCUCCAGCUGGCGGCGGACCUCGCGGUCGCCGGGAUAUCUCUCAUGUUUGUUCUCGGGGUCUUCGCCUUCGUCGCCAUCGUCCUCUGCUCCGUCGCUUUCAUCCGCGGCUCGAGGCUCCUUUCGUCAUGAUUUGGGCGCGUCGGUCGCAGAGGUAAUAGGUAGCAAACCCGUGAAGCAUCAUACCUAAUGGUAAUGAUUGAUAAGAACCUGUGAUUACAGAUGCUUUACGUUGAAAUGUGUGCAAGCUUCACAUGCCUCUUAAUCCCAUAUCAGUGCUAGUUCAGAAUCUCAAAAUUCGGACAUAAUGGAAGUCAUUCGACGAUGCAGGAUCUAGCAAGGAUCGAAUCGAAGAAAGUCAUUCUUGCACUCGCUUGAGAUCUGUUGUGGCAUUAAUGGAGAUCAUCAAUCUGUCUCCUUACGGAGACACUGUCCUUCAACUGUCUUAGAUUUGACAAAGAUUUUGACAUCUACCACCUCUACAUUUGGAAUCUUAUAGAGCCCCCGAAUCAUGGAUCAAGCUCUCCAAUUAGCUGGCACUAGUAGCCCCAGGAGCGAGAAUGCAGACUGCAUGCAUAUUAUUUAUUGCUGUUGACUUUGACUUCUCUUUGCCAACUGGUUCUAUUAAAUUGCUGCUUCUCUACAAUCGGAGCAAAUGUACAUUGCAUGUGGUGCCAAGCAAUUGGCAUCACAAGAGUACAUUGCUAUUUGGUACUUCCUGUUUCUUGGUGGCAACACCUUUAAUUAUUUCCAAGUUGGAAGUAAAAUUACACAUUUGC